GUGUAGGCUGGCCCAGAACAAUGGGGAAAGGAAGAGGAGGGCUGGAACAAAGGGAACUGGCUGGCCUGGAGCAAGAUAUGUACAUAUUCAAGGAGCCUCGGGGUAACAGCUGUCCUGAAGUUGGGAGAGUGGGUUGGAGUGGAGAAUGGAGGAGGAGUAGAGUCUGCAGAGCCGUGAAUGCCAGAUUCACCUAGAACUUUUCCCUUAAGUGUGUGUUUUGUUUUGAGGGCAGGGCACUUAAUGAAAAGAAGAGUAGACUGAGAGCCUUGUGCAGAAGGAACCAGACGUGGAGAGGAAAGGAUGAAAAGAAUACUUAGAAAGGGGCUCUAGUACUGGGCUCAGUCAUUCGACUCCAUUUAGGGGGUGCUUGCUCUGUGUCCUGAGAUAGAAGAGAGCAGCUCUUCCCUGAAGGAGCUCACAGUCUAGUGAUAGGAGACAGAAUAUUCUCAUGCAGUGCCGUGAACACUACCGUAGAAGAGUUAGGAAUUCCCAGCCUGGGCCAUCCGGGAAGGCUUCCCAGAGGAAGAGACACCAGAAGGACUAAUUUGCAGGACUAAAUAGAGUUAGCUAGGUGCAGAAGUCGGGGAAGAGCAAUCCAGACAGAGGAUCAGCAGGCGCUCAGGCACUGAAGCAAGAGAGAGCAAGAGGCAUUGCAGGAACUGCAAGCAGAUUGAUUGGCUCAGGUGAAGGUGGGACAUGAGCAAGCGACCAGAGGUGCUCCCUGAGAAACUCCAUUCCAGCUUCUGCUUCCCAGAGAACCCAAGAAGAUAUGCUAAGCGGCAUCACACCCCUAGGGCCAUAUGUGGGGGCACAUACGUGUUGCGAAGGGGAGCAGAUGACAUCCACUGGGGACACGGGCUCAGAAAAGAAGCAAUAUCUGAGGACCAACUGUGUACACGUGGGGCACUGAACCACGCCCUUUAUAUAGCUGAUUUAAUUCAGUUUUCAUAGGGAAACUGUGAUGUAGGUUUUAUUACCUCCAUUUACUGUCACAAACACUAAGGCUCAGAAAGAUUAAGAAACACGCCUGAGGUCACCUGGUUACUAUGGGGUGGAGCCAGGGUUUGAACCUAGACUGUUUGACGCCAGCGUUUGUGCUCCUUUGGCCUCUGGGCCCAGUGUGUAGCAGAGGGUAAGGCACACAGGGGCCCUGUUCCCUUCCCUGAAGCACCUAAGCCAGGAGCAUCUUCAUCCACACCCAGUAAUUCUCUCAGAGCCCCCAGAGCCAGGAGAAUCAUUCAGGGUGGUGUCCGGGAGAGAGAAAUUUGCAUUUUUCAUUGCACGCUGCAAACACCAUCCAAAUCUUCUACUAUGACCGGCCCCUUGCCCUACUUCCCCUUUCAGACAAAGAGCUAAGCCCAAUAAAGGUAAAAAUCAUCAGAAUUAUUGUAAAGUAAAAAUAAUAUAAAGUUAGCUUGCACUUCCUCUGAGAGCACUCACGAUACAUACCUUGUCAUCCACAUACAUACACACAUUUUCUUGCUUCCUAUUUGUUCUUCCAUCUGCCUUGCAAAGAAUUAUCUCCCCUUGUGAGUGUUCUUGCGGGUCUGUCCUCCUGCUGACCCUGAAUUUCAAGGAGGAGGCAGAUGCUCAGCUGCUGCUCAGCCCUCCGGCUAUACUUUGAGCCUCAGAGAGACAAGCAGGUACAUGAUUUUCUGCCGCGUUACAAAUACGGAAACAUGAAGGAGGAACUUGGGUUGUUGUAUUAUAUACUAUGGCUCUAUGGGGCUUGAUUGUCUUCCUGCGCUUUGGCCUAAAGGAAAUUACAAACAUUAUUAAGCGUUAUACUCUGUCUCGUGGGAAUUUCAUUUAGACCCUUGAUAUAUAAAUGCUAGCUCUGGCCUGCAAGAAAAAUGUUAGUACCACUUAUUACUGAUUUACUAUGUGCCAGGCACUACGACAGGUACUUUACAUGCAUCCAUUCUUUCACAGCUUUCAACGUAGUCAUGAUUGUCCCAUUUUACAUAGGAGCAAACAGAGAUUCAGAGCUUAAGCAACUGGGUUAAGAUCACACAGCUAGUUAGAGGCAGAAUUAGGAUUCAAACCUAAUUCUUUCUGACUUCAAAGCCUGUUCUAGGGGCCGGCCCAGUGGCACAGAGGGUAAGUGCGCACGUUCCCCUUUGGCUGCCCGGGUUCGCUGGUUUGGAUCCUGGGUGCGGACAUGGCACCACUUGGCAAGCCAUGCUGUGGUAGACAUCCCACAUACAAAGUAGAGGAAGAUGGAUGUGGAUGUUAGCUCAGGGCCAGUCUUCCUCAGCAAAAAGAGGAGGAUUGGCAGCAGUUAGCUCAGGGCUAAUCUUCCUCAAAAAAAAAAAAAGAGAAAAAGCCUGUUCUAUGUAGCAUGCUAUAUAGCUUUGGGAAGAAAUGGGUUUAUGAUGGCCUGAAUCUUAAUGUUUUAAAAUAGAUAUUAAAGCUAUUUAACCUCUGUUGUAGCCUCAAAACAAUUUAGUAAGAUGAACGACAAUAUUUUCCAUCCUGAAACAUCCUUCCCUUUUUACUCCUCUUUCUCCUCCCCUGACUACCCCUUUCAAGGCCAAACUUCUGAAACCAAAUUAGAGUCCCCACUUCCUCACAUCCCAUUCUCUCCUCAGCCUUUUUCCAUUGGGCUUCCAUGCACCUUGUCACAGAACCCGCUCUUGUCAUUGCCUCCAAGGACCUCCAUGUUGCCAAAUCUACUGGACUCCCCCCCCACCCCGUCAUCUUUUUCAGAUGUUUUAGGACUAUUUGACCCAGCUGAUUCCUCCCUCCUUGAAAGCAUCUCCCCCUUUGGCUUUUGGGACACCACACACUCUGCUUGUUUUUCCUCACCUCUCACCGCUCCUGUCUCCUUCGUGGGUUCUUUGUACCCACUGGUGGCACUUAGUGCCAGCUGUUUAUGCCACGGCCGUUUCUUCCUUCUUCCUCAGGAAUCAAACCCCAGUGUUGUUCAGGGCAGCAAAGUGCCUGGCGAAAAAGCCUUCCUUUUUUGGACUCACUUGGAGUUAGGAGUGGACACGUGUCAUAGGUCUGGCCAAUGAAAAGUCGGCUUCUAGGACAGCUUUCACUUCUUGAUAAAAAG
rnacentral:lncRNA from 1 species